rnacentral:rRNA from 1 species
UACAGAGGCCUCAAGCGUUGUUCGGAUUCAUUGGGCGUAAAGGGCGCGUAGGCGGCAUGGCAAGUCAGGAGUGAAAGGCCUGGGCUCAACCGAGGAACUGCUUUUGAUACUGCCAAGCUAGAGUGCGGAAGGGGCAACUGGAAUUCCCAGUGUAGCGGUGAAAUGCGUAGAUAUUGGGAAGAACACCUGAGGCGAAGGCGGGUUGCUGGGCCGACACUGACGCUGAGGCGCGAAAGCCAGGGGAGCAAACGGG